UGCAAGUCGAACGGUCGUAGCAAUACGAUAGUGGCGCACGGGUGAGGAACACGUAGCUGACCUGCCUUUCAGCACGGGACAACAUUUCGAAAGAGAUGCUAAUACCGUAUACGGUUCACGGGGUGAGAAGCCCGUGAAAGAAAGGGGAAACCCGCUGAAAGAGGGGGCUGCGACCCAUCAGGUAGUUGGUGUGGUAACGGCGCACCAAGCCAACGACGGGUAGCGGGUCUGAGAGGAUGACCCGCCACACUGGGACUGAGACACGGCCCAGACUCCUACGGGAGGCAGCAGUGAGGGAUAUUGCACAAUGGGGGAAACCCUGAUGCAGCGACGCCGCGUGGGUGAUGAAGGACUUCGGUUCGUAAAACCCUUUUACAGGUGACGAGAACGGACGGUAGCCUGUGAAUAAGUCUCGGCUAACUACGUGCCAGCAGCCGCGGUAAAACGUAGGAGACAAGCGUUAUCCGGAGUUACUGGGCGUAAAGGGCGCGCAGGUGGUUAUGUAAGUGUGGCGUGAAAGCUCCCGGCUAAACUGGGAGAUGUCGAAACAGACUGCAUGACUAGAGGACGAUAGAAGCACGCGGAAUUCGGGGUGUAGCGGUGAAAUGUGUAGAGAUCCCGAGGAACACCAGUGGUGAAAACGGCGUGCUGGGUCGUACCUGACACUGAGGCGCGAAAGCUUGGGGAGCGAACGGGAUUAGAGACCCCGGUAGUCCAAGCCGUAAACGAUGCUUGCUGGAUGUCCACCUGUCGAAAGGCAGGGGGGUGUCGAAGCUAACGCGAUAAGCAAGCCGCCUGGGGAGUACGGUCGCAAGGCUAAAACUCAAAGGAAUUGACGGGGGCCCGCACAAGCAGCGGAGCGUGUGGUUUAAUUCGAGGCUACACGAAGAACCUUACCUGGGUUUGACAUGUAGGUGGUAGGGAACUGAAA
rnacentral:rRNA from 1 species